rnacentral:rRNA from 1 species
AUGCCUACGGGGCGCAGCAGUGGGGGAUAUUGGACAAUGGGGGAAACCCUGAUCCAGCGACGCCGCGUGAGUGAAGAAGUAUUUCGGUAUGUAAAGCUCUAUCAGCAGGGAAGAAAGAAAUGACGGUACCUGAGUAAGAAGCCCCGGCUAACUACGUGCCAGCAGCCGCGGUAAUACGUAGGGGGCAAGCGUUAUCCGGAAUUACUGGGUGUAAAGGGGGCGCAGACGGCGAUGCAAGCCAGGAGUGAAAGCCCGCGGCCCAACCACGGGACUGCUCUUGGAACUGCGUAGCUAGA